CCUACGGGUGGCAGCAGUAGGGAAUCUUCCACAAUGGGCGAAAGCCUGAUGGAGCAACGCCGCGUGGGUGAAGAAGGUCUUCGGAUCGUAACACCCUGUUGUUAGAGAAGAAAGUGCGGGAGAGUAACUGUUCACGUUUCGACGGUAUCUAACCAGAAAGGCACGGCUAACUACGUGCCAGAAGCCGCGGUAAUACGUAGGUGGCAAGCGUUAUCCGGAUUUAUUUGGCGUAAAGGGAACGCAGGCGGUCUUUUAAGUCUGAUGUGAAAGCCUUCGGCUUAACCGGAGUAGUGCAUUGGAAGCUGGUAGACUUGAGUGCAGAAGAGGAGAGUGGAACUCCAUGUGUAGCGGUGAAAUGCGUAGAUAUAUGGAAGAACACCAGUGGCGAAAGCGGCUCUCUGGUCUGUAACUGACGCUGAGGUUCGAAAGCGUGGGUAGCAAACAGGAUUAGAUACCCUAGUAGUC
rnacentral:rRNA from 1 species